UGAAUCAGAUUCGAUUUCGCGAUCUAAAAAUCUCUUAAGCACUCAGAUGUCAGUGAUUUCUGCUCCAAUCAACACCUCUUUCUAAGAUCUGAGUCAGAUUCGAUGGCGGCGAAGAAUGCUGGGAUUCGCUGAUAAAACCACGAUUUCGACAAAGAAGAACAAGUGUUCAAUCAAUCAUCAGCGGGAAAAAAGGGGCUUCAUUUGAGUUGGGUUUAUCAGAUCAUCAUCAUCAUCAUUAUCAUCUUCAUCUUCUGCAUCUAAAAAGAGAGAAAAAUCAAGUAUGUGUUGGUGACAGGCGGCGUAGUUAGCGGUCUUGGGAAAGGUGUGACUGCCAGUAGCUUUGGUGUCAUUCUCAAGGCUUGUGGGCUUCAUGUUACUUCUAUUAAGAUUGUUCAGUUUAGUCUUUUUACUCCUUGAAUGUGGUUUUUUUGAAAAAAAAAUUAGCUCUUUUACACUAUUGUUACUUUGAGUUAUGUACAGAACUUAGCUGGGUAAUUUAGGUUUUCUUCUUGUUGGUAAUGUCUUUGAAAGAAGCCUACUUUUGUUUCAACCACCC